GACGAACGCUGGCGGCGGGCUUAACACAUGCAAGUCGAACGCAACGCAAGGGGUGCGGCAGACGGCUGAGUAACGCGUGGGGACAUUCACUUAUCUUUGGCCUGGCUCCGGGAAACUGGUAUUAAUACCGAACGUGCGCUUUUGGGGAAAGAUUUGUCGGAUAAGGAUCGGCCCGUGUUGGAUUUUCUAGUUGGUGGGGUAAAGGCCUACCAAGGCGACGAUCCAUAGCUGUUCUGAGAGGCUGAUCAGCCACAUUGGGACUGAGACACGGCCCAAACUCCGACGGGAGGCAGCAGUGGGGAAUAUUGGACAAUGGGCGCAAGCCUGAUCCAGCCAUGCCGGGUGAGUGAUGAAGGCCGUAGUGUUGUGAAGCUCUUUCACCGGAGAAGAUAAUGACGGUAACCGGAAAAGAAGCCCCGGCUAACUUCGUG
rnacentral:rRNA from 1 species